rnacentral:rRNA from 1 species
CCUACGGGAGUCAGCAGUGAGGAAUAUUGGUCAAUGGCCGGGAGUCUGAACCAGCCAAGUCGCGUGAGGGCAGACGGCCCUACGGGUUGUAAACCUCUUUUGUCAGGGAGCAAGGUGCAGCUCGGGACCUUCUGUGAGAGUACCUUAAGAACAAGCAUCGGCUAACUCCGUGCCAGCAGCCGCGGUAAUACGGGGGAUGCGAGCGUUAUCCGGAUUUCUUGGGUUUAAAGGGUGCGCAGGCGGAGGCACAAUUCAGCGGUAACAUCGCGGGGCUCAACCCCGCUCCGCCGUUGAAACUGUGGCCGUUGAGUGCGCGAAGGGUAAGCGGAAUGCGUGGUGUAGCGGUGAAAUGCAUAGAUAUCACGCAGAACGCCGAUCGCGAAGGCAGCCGACCGGAGUGCAACUGACGCUCAUGCACGAAAGCGUGGGUAUCGAACAGGAUUAGAUACCCGAGUAGUC